UCUUAUGCUAUUUUGGACUAUUAUGCCAAGAUUGUGAUUUAGUUACACCGGGUGUGCAAAAGUUAACUUGAUAGGGUACGCUUAAUUUGGGUUUGAAGGGUGUAAUAUCUUUUCUACGUUUUUAUCACAUAGUAGAGAUAGGGUGUUUGUCUUAUUUGGUUCAUGUUCUUGAUGCUAGUGUUUCCUACAAAUUCUAUUUGGGUUGUUCACGAGUCCAUGGAUGUAUUUUCUAUAGAUUUGCUUAGUGUGCCUCUGGAUUGUGA
rnacentral:lncRNA from 1 species